CUGGUUUACUCCAGAGGCCCAUGGUGUGUAUUCUUUGGAGCCACCUUUCUAGGACUCUGUGCCUUUGUCCUCCUUCAUGUCAUGCUUCAUGAUAACCACAUUGGUGACAUUGCGUCUUCAGAACAGGUCCGUAGCUCUGCUUUCCCCGCCAGAGUGUCCAGCCUCACUCUGCUUGGGCUGCCUUAGGUCAGGUUCUCAUUCCUGUGCCAAUGAGUAGGACCCGGAGGAAGGGACCUGCUACCUGGCUGGAAUGCAGCUCAAACCUGCUACCUGCUACCUGUAUUGCUGGAAUACAAUACAUGCUUGGAGCCGGGUAGGUGGCCAAUCCCACCUAAACCCUAUGGAAGCCUGUGCAGUUUGCCAGAUAAGUUCUGCUUUCUGUUGCCCUUAUGGAGCUUACAGCUUAAUCAGGGAGGCAGACAAACAAAUAAGCAAAUGGAUACAAGAUAUGAAGUAAAGAACAGAGCUGUGAGACUGUCAGGGGGACACAGUCCAGACAGAGAAGUGGGAAGUGACAUUUGAGUUGAGAUCCGAAUGGUCGAGCAGGAGUUAAUCAAGAAAAGAGGUUAGGGAAAGACAAAAGGCAAGUGAGCAUUUGGGGGGACAUUUAUCCCUUUACUUUCUCUUAGGAGAGUUGGUGUGUGAUGCUCAAAAUAUUGAACAACUAGUAUGGUACCCUAGAGAGGGCAAAAUUACAAGUGGCCAAAGGAGGAUGACUACAGGAAAGCACCAGCUCACCGUAGGUGGCCACAGAUGAGUGGCCCACUGCUGGGAUCUGAGGCCCACAGGGCUAGGGCUGGGGCAAAGACUGUUAACCAACUAGGAUGGAAGUAGUAGAUAAGUAUAUAAAUAACUGGUAUGGCUUGUACCUGCUGGUGCUGGAUUUCAAGCCUGAGUGUACCCCAUUCUUCUGGGCCUUCUUUCCACUAUUUACUGACCACCAAACCUUCCCUAUGUGAUAUUCAAUAAACGUUGACUAAACAUAUAGAUGACUAUAUUGAUAGCAUGGGAAAAUUAUCAACAUUCAUGCCUGAUUGAUAAUUGAUAGAAGAUUUCGCCGCAGAGCAAAUUAGCAAAUGCUUCCCUAGAUUCCGCAGAGCAUCUCAGACGUUGAUUUUCAACUAGAGGCUCCUGGGAUUUGAAUCAGCAUCUGCCUGAGGUUUGCAAGUUGAGGGGAAUCUCAGCCUGGAGACACAUGUUGAUUCCACAGUGGAGUGUUGGAAGCCCGCACAGAGUAAUAAACUUACAGUUGUGUUUUGUUUGAACCACUUAAUACUUAUUAACUUAAUGGGCACGUUAAAAAAAAUCAUGAGAUGAAGCACUAACAUCUUGAUUCCUGUCUUUCCUUGAAGGGGGAGAAAAUUUGGGCGUGCAUAUCAGCAUGGAGGUUUGUCUGCAGCCAGUAGAGGCUGCCUCUUUAGAUGGUAUGCUCUAAUUUGCCUUUCUUCCACCUUUCUCACUUUUUUCAUAUUUGUUACAUACUUGCCCUUGGGUACCGGGUCUGAAAAUAGCAAGAUUUAAGCUUUCUAUUAGGAAACCAUCGCAAGGUAAAAAGAGUACGAUGAUCCUUGGCAUCACCCUUCUGGCCUUUUCCACUGUUUUAACCUCAGCAGCAGGAGCAUAAACUUUCCAGCUGUGUGAAGGACUCAGAACUGAGUCAGAGCAGUCCCCAAACCAACUGAAGUUAGUCUGUUAGCUUUGUGCAGGCUGAAAGCUUUAAAUAAUCAUUUCCAGUUGUACCUUCUUGUCAUUUCCCUUUAGUGUACAGUUCCCACCUCCAAAUUCUUCUCUUACACCCUGAGAGCCUGGCCCAGACCUAACCUAGGAGGCUCCACUUGGGUGAGUAAUUGUCAUUAGCCUCCUUUUAGUCUCUUAAGCAUCUCUCCUGUUUAGGUCUGAAGUCUAGUUCUAUAUGAUUUCAAGUAAAAACUCCCAUCCGCAAGCCACUGAUCCAUUCAUCCAACCUUACCUAUUUAUUUAGCAAAAUGGGGAAUCAUAUUGACAAAAUCAUUAUCCUUAAGCAAUUUGGAGCCUAGUAGGGAAAUUAAAAUGUCAACAUGCAAUUGUCAUACUCUGGGACAAGGGCCUAUCAGGUAGAGUUGCAGAUAAAAUACAGGGCACCCGGUUAAACUUGGCAUGGUUUAUUUGUUAAAUCUGAUAACCCUACCACCGGGGAAAGUGUUGGGUGCAAGGGAACACACGUGAGGAGGACCAGGGAAGUCUUCCUAGAAGCACUGCCUUUGAGGCCAACACGAGAGGGUUUAAGUCAGAAGAGGUGGAGGAUAGGGGAGAGCUCUGUGAAGACAGAGAAUAGCAUGUGUGAAGGCCCUGACUUGAGAGCCACCCCAGGAAAUUCAGGGGCCUGAGGUUCAGGAUGUGGGAAUGUGGAGGGUGGAGGAGUAUGUCAGGGGAGCGGAGACUGGAGACGCGAUGAAGUCCUGCCAUGGAAUGUGGACUGGAUCCUAAGCACAACAGGCCAGCCAUUGUAGGGCUUGAAGCCGCAGAGUGACGUAAGAUACGCAUUUGAGAAAAGUCCUUCUGGCUGGAGUGUAGUGACUGAUUAGAAGAGGAAGUCUGGAGACAGGAGAAGGCAGAGCGGUGCUUGCUGCAGUAACGAUAGUGGGUGAUGGCGGUGGCUGUGAGGAAGAGAGAGGAAUGGAUGAGCUACUUAGAGGAUGGAUGGGUAGAUGUGGGAGAUGAGGGAAGAGAAAGGUUGUGUAUGAAGAUGGUUCCACUCAGUGGGACAGGAGAGGUAGGGAGAAGUGGGUACUGCAGUGCCAUUUGCCUGUUUGCCUCAGACUGGCUCCCUGCCUUUCCACUGCUCUGCUCCGUGUCACAGGGCUGAUCCUGCAAACCCCAUCGCCCAGACUUCCUCGCCAACUCUUUUCCAGUUCCAGAAAUGAUGUCUGCUGAAGGAGAACAUGUUCUAGCAAUGAAAUCUUCAAAAGACUCCUGCCACUGCUCUGUGACUGGGACCCCCAGGUUGUCUUUGGAAGUUUCUAACGCCUCCUGAGUAGAGACUGGGACAUGGAAGGAGUCAAGAGGCAAAGGAAUCCCAGCAUCACCUGUAAUUUUCUGAAACUGGAGGGAAAGACAAAAGACAAGGCAAAAAUUCAGUGAUGAACAAAGACAACCAUUAAAAAGUAGAGUUCAAAACUUCAAUGUUACUCUGUGAUCUUAUUAUUAACACAGUCAAUUGAUUAUUCAGAAGACUUCAGAGGCAUUUUUUUUCUAAUUAUAUCUUGCCAAGUGAUUCUCAACUUAACCUAGCUAUAUCCAAGGCUAUGUCAGCUACAUUUUCAGACUUUGGUGAUUGGGGUAGUUAUUACCCAUUUCCUUUCCCUCACUAAGAAUGAAACCCUACUCUGUAAGAAAAAUUAAUUUCUUUUCUAUCCUCCAGGCACAUGUAAACAAUAUAUAGUUUGUGACCAGACUGUGUUCUCAAGCUGUCAGCUCCCAAGACCAGUCUGAGAUUGGCUGAGGUGGGCAAAGGGGGCUCCAAGUAAGGUGGAGGAAAAGCUGACAGGUUUCCCCUCCCAUUCCCAUGACCAGGUGGACUACUAACAGUAGAAUUCAUCUGGGGACGACCUAGUAAAUGAAAAUCUGACUGAUCUAUACCAGCCAUUGUGGCCAGCUGCCCAAGCCUGGACCAAAGGAGGAAAGGAGAAAAGACAAAGGUUAUUAUAAUCACAUAAGAGCAGUUUAGAUUUCCCCAGACC